AUAUGAUUGUCUUUUAUGCUUUGUGUAAUGACUGCUGACUUCCUUUCUUCUUUGUCCAUGCGCUUGUGAGCAUGAGCCUUUCAUCUUCUUUUAGAUUUAUAGGCUCAUGAGUUGCGUGUUGGAAUAUCGACUUGUCGAACACCACUCGAUAUUGACGUUUUUAAUCAAAACAGUUGCUAGUUUUGGUUUGCAUUGAUUGGUAGCACCUACCCAAAGGAAGGAGCUGGAAGAACUGGUUCCCAGGAUGUGGAGUGUCCAAUAGGAUCCUACCUGCUCUUCUCCUAGUUUCGGUAACGUGCUAGUCAUCAGGGGUGGGUAGGGUGGUGCCGACAAUCCGUUCAGCAGUUCUGAUUGUCCGUUGCAGUCAGACUUUGUCCAGCCUAGCCCCAGUGGCAGCCCCAAACGAAACUGUGAUGGAGGUACAUAUACAGUACUGAUUCGAUGACCGCUGUGGAGAACUGUCUCAGUCUCAGCAGCUCUUGUGACAGGUCGUGCUUCCGCAGAAGCCGCAGGAUGUACAUCCUAUGGUGGGCUGUUUUGAAGAUAGAGUUGGUGUUUGUCUCCCACUUCAGGUCCUGUGAGACUGUAAUUCCAAGGAACUUGAAGGUCUCGAUGGUUGACACAAGACAGUUGGACAAUAUGAUGGGCUGCUGUGGUUAAAGGAUGUCUCCUAAAGUCCACAAUUAUCUCUACAGUCUUAAAUUUGUUCAGCUCUGGUUUGUGUUGGCCACACCAAAGCGCCAUCCUCUCCACUAUCUGUCGAUAUGUAGACUCGUCACCAUCUUUGAUGAGGCUGAUGACUGUUAUGUCAUCUGCAAACUUGAGGAGUUUGACUGCCAGGUGCACUGAGAUGCAGUCGUUUGUGUAGAGCAAAAAGAGUAGCGGGGAGAGGACACAACCUUGGGGUGGGCCAAUGCUGAUGGUGCGUGGGGAUGAGGUGGUGACCCCCAGCCUCACCUGCUGUAGCCUGCCCAUCAGGAAAUUGUAGAUCCACUGACAGAUGGCAGGCGAGGCGUUGAGCAGGAGAAGAUUGGAGGAAAGGAAUUUGGGAAUGAUGUUGUUGAACCCAGAGCUGAAGUCCACGUACAGGAUUCUUGCAUUUGUUUGCUGUCGAGGUGUUUAAGGAUGAAGAGCAGACCCAUGGUCAUUACAUCAUCUGCUGACCUAUUUGCUUGGUAGGCAAACUACAGUGGGUCCAGCAGGAAACAUGUGAUGCUCUCGAGGUAAGGCGUUCAAAGGACUUCAUGACCACAAUCGUCAAGGCAACAGGCCUGUAGUCAUUCAGACCUGAGAUUGGAGGUUUCUUGGGGAGGUCUGAAUUAGGGUGAUGGUGGAGCAUUUGAAGCAGGUUGGUACUUCAUACAGUUCCAGAGACCUACUGAAGAUUCUGACAUGAACACAUGUAAAGGCUGAAGUUGAGACUCAAACCCAGAACCUCAAAACUGGUCAGAGGGAGCUGGGGCCUGUCCCAGCUGAUUUUGGGCAAAAGGCAGACAACAUCCUGGUCUGCAGAUCGCCAGUUGAUCAUAAGGCACAUGAUGGAACCAAAGGGGCUAAAAUGAUGGGCUGGACUGUCCCGUCCUUCAAAGUCUAUCUUGCAGCUGUGCUCGGGACUCUGCAGGUAAACAUUUGAACUCCAG